rnacentral:rRNA from 1 species
AUGGAGCUCUCCAGGAUCCGGACCUUCGAGAAGCGCCUCCUCCGGCCGCUCCUCUCCCUGCCCGCGCGCUCCCGGGCGUUCCAGACCCUGGCCCGCUCCACCCCUCCGCCGCCCUGCGCCCCCUCCCUCCUCCUCCUGCUCCGCACGCGCCACCUCGCGCCCCAUCCCCAUCCCCCACGCCGCGCCUCGCUCCCGCCCCUCCGCUCCUUCGCGUCCGUCUCCCCGGCCCCGUCGGCCCCCGGGAAGGACCUCCAGGGCAGCAACGGCAACGACGACGACGACGGCCUCCCGCCCGCGCCCCUCCCGCCGCCGCCCGAGGAGCUCGGUUCCGACGACGACGCCUACUACCAGGAGCAGCUGCUCGAGUACGCGCAAGAGGACGAGGCCCGCCUCGUCCCCGUCAAGGCCUACUUCCCCUGCACCAGCAUCAACCUCAAGAGCCUCCAGUCGCAGAACUCCUUCAAUGUCAUCCCGCCUACUUCGCGUGCCACCAAUUAUGUCGUCCUCAGAUACUAUGAUGUCAAGGGAGACCCAGAGGGUUUUAAGACUGGUGUCAUAGAUGAGAGCCAUUGCCACUAUAUGGUAGUUUUCCAAUAUGGGUCCAUCGUGCUGUUCAAUGUUUCUGACCAUGAAGCAGAUGGAUACCUAAAAAUUGUCGAGAGGCAUGCUUCAGGGUUACUGCCAGAGAUGAGGAAAGAUGAUUACGCCGUUGUUGAGAGGCCUGCCAUGGAGAAGUGGAUGGAGGGUGGACUUGAUUUUAUUAUACUUAAGGAUCUGAGUAUCGAUGGUAUUCGGACAAUUGGAAGUGUACUUGGUCAGAGUAUCGCUCUUGACUAUUAUAUCCGGCAAGUGGAUGGAAUGGUUGCCGAGUUCACGGAUAUAAAUCGUGGAAUGGAGAAAACUGGUACCUUCACUAUGGAGAGGAAAAAGCUUUUCCAGUUAGUCGGAAAGGCUAACUCUAACUUGGCAGAUGUCAUUCUUAAGCUUGGACUUUUUGAGAGGUCAGACAUUGCUUGGAAGAACGCAAACUAUGCGCAGAUCUGGGAGUUCCUCCGGGACGAGUACGAGCUAACCCAAAGAUUCGGAAACCUUGAUUUCAAGUUGAAAUUUGUUGAGCACAACAUCCGGUUCCUCCAGGAGAUCCUCCAGAACAGGAAGUCGGACUUCCUGGAGUGGCUGAUCAUCAUCCUCAUCAGCGUGGAGAUCUUGAUAUCCGUGUACAACAUUGUCCAGGAGCAGAUGUAG